rnacentral:sRNA from 1 species
AUGGCUGUCGUCAGCUCGUGUCGUGAGAUGUUGGGUUAAGUCCCGCAACGAGCGCAACCCCUGCCCUUAGUUGCCACCGGGUAAUGCCGGGCACUCUAGGGGGACUGCACGGGUCAACCGUGAGGAAGGCGGGGACGACGUCAAGUCAUCAUGGCCCUCAUGUCCAGGGCUACAAGCGUGCUACAAUGGGCUACACAAAGGGUUGCAAACUCGCGAGAGCCAGCUAAUCCCAAAAAGUAGUCCUCAGUUCGGAUCGGAGUCUGCAACUCGACUCCGUGAAGUUGGAAUCGCUAGUAAUCGCGGAUCAGAACGCCGCGGUGAAUACGUUCUCGGGCCUUGUACACACCGCCCGUCACGCCAUGGAAGUCUGCUGUACCGGAAGUCGGUGCACCAACCCGCAAGGGAGGUAGCCGCCUAUGGUAUGGCCGGUGACUGGGGCGAAGUCGUAACAAGGUAGCCGUAGGGGAACCUGCGGCUGGAUCACCUCCUUUCUAACGAGUGAACGCCAUGGUUCUUCGGAGCCGUGGCCAUUCGAGGUCAAUCGCCGGGUAACACCGGUCGGUUUCGACCGUGGCAGCAAGUCGCUUCCACCCCCGCUCGCACUACUAUUCGGUUUUGAGAGGCCGGCCCUCCAAGGGUUGUUCUUUGACAAGAUAUCGGAUCAAUAUCGAUACUGGAUUUCGAGCCCGCGCAAGGCCGGCCGACGCUCAACUAAUAUCUUAUCUAAGGGGCCUAUAGCUCAGCUGGCUAGAGCGCGCCCCUGAUAAGGGCGAGGUCGGUAGUUCGACUCUACCUAGGCCCACCACUUCCUGCUGUAACUAAGGCGGCGCCCGCUCGAGAGUGUUACCGCGAGAGUGUUACCGGUUGAUGGGAUAGUCACUCGGUUAAAGAGGGGCUGACUAUCAGCCAGGCGAACUAGGUUAGGGGCUUUGGGGCGGUAGCUCAAUUGGGAGAGCAUCGGCUUUGCAAGCCGGGGGUUGCCGGUUCAAUCCCGGUCCGCUCCACCAGUAUUUACGAUGACCGGACGCGAGUGCGUCCGAUGGAAUUUUUGGCUCCCGCUUGCUCGAAGAGAGAGGCGGGCAGCCGAUCCGGUCUUUGACAACUGAAUAGUAGGGUAUCUUCAAGUGUAGUUAGUAGAGCCUUGUAUGUGACUCGAGACCUUAAGUGGUCAAGCUACUAAGGGCACAUGGUGGAUGCCUUGGCGCAAGCAAGCGAUGAAGGACGUGGCUGGCUGCGAAAAGCUCCGGGGAGCCGCCUAGCAGGCUUUGAUCCGGAGAUGUCCGAAUGGGGAAACCCGG